AGUGAACGCUGGCGGUAGGCCUAACACAUGCAAGUCGAACGGCAGCACAGUAAGCUCUUGCUCUUACGGGUGGCGAGUGGCGGACGGGUGAGGAGUACAUCGGAAUCUACUUUUUCGUGGGGGAUAACGUAGGGAAACUUACGCUAAUACCGCAUACGACCUACGGGUGAAAGCAGGGGAUCUUCGGACCUUGCGCGAUUGAAUGAGCCGAUGUCGGAUUAGCUAGUUGGCGGGGUAAAGGCCCACCAAGGCGACGAUCCGUAGCUGGUCUGAGAGGAUGAUCAGCCACACUGGAACUGAGACACGGUCCAGACUCCUACGGGAGGCAGCAGUGGGGAAUAUUGGACAAUGGGCGCAAGCCUGAUCCAGCCAUACCGCGUGGGUGAAGAAGGCCUUCGGGUUGUAAAGCCCUUUUGUUGGGAAAGAAAAGCAGCAGGUUAAUACCCCGAUGUUCUGACGGUACCCAAAGAAUAAGCACCGGCUAACUUCGUG
rnacentral:rRNA from 1 species